CGGUAAUUCCAGCUCCAAUAGCGUAUACUAAAGUUGUUGCAGUUAAAAAGCUCGUAGUUGGAUUUCUGCGGGGACGGAGCGGCCGGUCGCAACUUGCGACUCGAGCUAGCGCUUUCCCCGCAUCCUGCCGCGAACCGUGCUACCAUUAGUUUGGUGGCGCUGGGGAUCGGCUCGAUUACUUUGAGAAAAAUAGAGUGUUCAAAGCAGGCCACACGCCUUGAAUAAGUUAGCAUGGAAUAAUGACUAAGGACUUUGGUUCUUUUCGUUGGUGUUCGGGACUGAAGUAAUGAUUGAUAGGGACAGUUGGGGCGGUCCGUAUUCCAAAGCGAGAGGUGAAAUUCUUAGACCUUCGGAAGACGAACAGCUGCGAAAGCGUUCCGCAAGGAUGUUCCCUUUGAUCAAGAACGAAAGUUGGGGGAUCGAAGACGAUCAGAUACCGUCGUAGUCUCAACUAUAAACUAUACCAGCUAGGGAUCGGCCAACGUUUAAUUUAUCGACUUGGUCGGCACCUUAUGAGAAAUCAAAGCAUCUGGGUUCCGGGGGGAGUAUGGUCGCAAGGCUGAAACUUAAAGGAAUUGACGGAAGGGCACCACCAGCCGUGGAGCCUGUGGCUUAAUUUGACUCAACACGGGAAAACUUACCAGGUCCAGACAUAGGAAGGAUUGACAGAUUGAUAGCUCUUUCUUGAUUCUGUGGGUGGUGGUGCAUGGCCGUUUUUAGUCGGUGGAUGUGAUCUGUCUGCUUAAUUGCGUUAACGGACGAGACCCCAGCCUGCUAAAUAGCGCGGCCGAGCUUUGCUCGGUGCGAGCUUCUUAGAGGGACCAUGAUGCGCGAUAGCACAAGGAAGUUUGGGGCAACAACAGGUCUGUGAUGCCCUUAGAUGUUCUGGGCCGCACACGGGCUACACUGGCGCCUGCAACGAGCAUAUCAGCUGGCCCGAGAGGGUCUUGGCUAAUCUUUGGAACCGGCGCCGUGCUUGGGAUUGACCAUUGCAAUUGUUGGUCAUGCAACGAGGAAUGCCUUGUAAACGCGAGUCAUCAGCUCGCAUUGAAUACGUCCCUGCCCUUUGUACACACCGCCCGUCGCUCCUACCGAUGAAUGUUCCGAUGAAAUUUUCGGAGAGCACCAGAGAACGGGGCUCCGCCUUGCAGAUCUGGAGGCUCAAAGUCACUUAAAUCUGAACAUUUCGAGGAAGGAGAAGUCGUAACAAGGUAGCCGU
rnacentral:rRNA from 1 species